rnacentral:lncRNA from 1 species
CAAAUUUUGAAGUUACUCAUUUUGAUGUGCCAUAAAUAGUGUGGAAGUGGACCACUAUGAGAGUGACAAUUAAGGUACUGUGCCCAGACUAAUUAUGUCCCUUGGUCUGUCAUCACUGUCAUUGGUGGGCAGAGAACAGAUGAAUGGAUUCCUGAUUCUCACUUGGAAUUGUUCAGUUAAGGGAUUAUAUAUUCUGAUCCUUUUUGCUUCUCGGUGUGAUCAUUUGACUAGAUCUGACCAAUGAAAGAAAUUGUCAAUGGAGCCUCUGGUAAGUAUUCUUAAAGGAGAGGUAGCAGUACUUUCUUAUCCUCUUGAUUUACC